UCACGAUCCUCCUGCUAUAGUACCAGCUCAGAUCAAUGCCAUAGUCCCACGACGAAAGAGUCAAGAAUCCACCGACGAUACAGAGCUCCAUGAUGAACUUUAAUAGAAAUUAGAUUGUUACAAUAUGAUACAACAAUAUACCAUUGCUUAUAUUGAAUCCUACAUUUGAAAAUAACUAUUUUAACACAGUAUUUUUCACAUUUAUUUUAUAUUUUCUUUCACUUCUAGUGUAAAA